rnacentral:misc_RNA from 1 species
AUAAAGCAACUCUUGAAAGAGGCGGGCUCCUUUUCACAAAGAGUGCUUCUGUUAUGAACAUUUCUUUUUUGUUUUAAUGCUAGGCAGUUUUUGCUUCCGUCUGCAUUGAAUGCCAAAAACUUCGGAUUUCACACAUGAAUUAUCAUGUUAAGCUCCAAGAUGUUUGAGAGCCUAUAAUAAAGCAUAAAGAAAGUAUGUUAAGUUCCACAAGCAUGUGGAGUUGGCCAUUUCUAUUUGUUGAAAUGAGAAAUUACUUUUGUAGGAAAAUGUGUUCAUAAUAUGUGUGGUUGACUUUUUGUAAUGCCCUCACUUUAGAUAGUCUGUACGUUCUACUGUUCCGGUGAU